AUCCAGACUCCUACGGGAGGCAGCAGUGGGGAAUAUUGCACAAUGGGGGAAACCCUGAUGCAGCGACGCCGCGUGAGCGAUGAAGUAUUUCGGUAUGUAAAGCUCUAUCAGCAGGGAAGAAGAUGACGGUACCUGACUAAGAAGCCCCGGCUAACUACGUGCCAGCAGCCGCGGUAAUACGUAGGGGGCAAGCGUUAUCCGGAUUUACUGGGUGUAAAGGGAGCGUAGACGGCGAUGCAAGCCAGAUGUGAAAGCCCGGGGCUCAACCCCGGGACUGCAUUUGGAACUGUGUGGCUGGAGUGUCGGAGAGGCAGGCGGAAUUCCUAGUGUAGCGGUGAAAUGCGUAGAUAUUAGGAGGAACACCAGUGGCGAAGGCGGCCUGCUGGACGAUGACUGACGUUGAGGCUCGAAAGCGUGGGGAGCAAACAGGAUUAGAUACCCUUGUA
rnacentral:rRNA from 1 species